CGAAUCCUGCAAAGCAGAACGGCCCGUGAAUUUGUAUAUAAUAAUCCGGGAGUGCAUCGGAUGGGUUCUUGGCCUGUUCGGUGUUGUCCCUUGCUAGGGGUGGGCUAGUUGUCCUCUUAGGACACUAGUUCACAUUCCUAGCAGCACAAUAAACCCCGGCGCGAACUGUGCCAAGGAAAUUGAACAAAGAGAUCAUGCUUGUUGCUCCUGUUCGCGGGUUGCGACGAGUGUUGAAUCUUGCAUAACAAUAAAACGACUCUCGGCAACGGAUAUCUAGGCUCUCGCAUCGAUGAAGAACGUAGCAAAAUGCGAUACUUGGUGUGAAUUGCAGAAUCCCGUGAACCAUCGAGUUUUUGAACGCAAGUUGCGCCCGAAGCCAUUAGGCCAAGGGCACGUCUGCCUGGGCGUCUCAUAAAGCGUCGCUUGCACCACUCCCCAACGAGUAACGGUGUUUGGAGCGGAUAGUGGCUCCCCGUGUGCCUUUGUAUUAUGCGGUCGGCCUAAAAAUGAGUCUCGACAAUCAACGUCACGACAAGUGGUGGUUGUCAAACUGUUGCGUUUUGUCGUGCACGUUUCGAUUGCCAUCGGAUGACUAUUUGACCCUGAAGCUCAAUUAUAUUGGAACCUUGAUCGCG
rnacentral:rRNA from 1 species